AUGCCUCGGAAGCACAAAAACAAGCAUCAUGCCCACGGGAAAUGUCACCAGGUCCAGAGGGAUACUCAGGAGGCCCAAGCCAGUGCUGCUGCAGCCCCAGGAGAGGAGUGCCCCUCCUCCCCCUCUUCUGUCCCUCAGGGUUCUCCCGCAAGCUCCUCUGCUGCUGGCGAUCGCCAGGAGCUUCAGGGAGCCAUGGCCCCUAGCUCUCCUGAUGCAGAGGCUUCCUGUGCAGGAGCUGAUCAAGGUGCCCAGGGCCCCGAGGAUGAAAGUGCAGAUGCCGCCCGAGCAGCCCUGCUCGCUCGGAGCAUUCGCAAAGAUCCUCUCAUGAGGAAGGCCAGCAUGGUGAUGGAUUUCCUGCUGGAGAAGUACAUCAAGAAGGAGCCCAUCACAAAGAAUGCCAUGCUGAAUGUCAUCGGAAGGAAGUACAAGCAGCACUUCCCGGAGAUCCUGAGCAGAGCCUCUGAGCGCGUGGAGCUGGUGUUUGGCCUGGAGCUGAAGGAAGUCGACUGCAGCAGGAACAUCUACGCCCUCGUCAACAAGUUCACUCUCGGGGUUGAGGAAGGUUCAAGUGAUGAGGAGGCGCUGCCCAAGUCUGGUCUCCUCAUGGCGCUCCUGGGCAUCAUCUUUAUGAAGGGUAACCGUGCCACCGAGGAGGAGGUCUGGGAUUUCCUCAAUGUGUUGGGGAUCUAUGCUGGGAGGAAGCACUCCAUCUUUGGGGAGCCCAGAAAGCUCAUCACCAAAGAUCUGGUGCAGAAGGGGUACCUCAACUACCGCCAGGUGCCCAAUAGCGAUCCUCCAAUCUACGAGUUCCUGUGGGGCCCGAGAUCUUAUGCUGAGACCAAUAAGAUGAAGGUGUUGGAAGUUCUGGCCAAGAUCCAGGAUACGGUCCCGAGUUCCUUCCCAGACCUCUAUGAUGAGGCUCUGAGAGAUCAGGCGUUUAGAGCAGGGCUGAGAGGCAUUCCCAUUUCUGCUUUAAGUUCAGCCCUUGAUUCUUCCACUGUGCCCUGGGGCCAUGAAUCGCUACAGCCUCACUGAAGGAAUCUGAGGCAGCAUCUCAGAGCUCCCAUGCCAAGACCAUGGGGAACAGAAGUUUCAGUUGGAUGUGGCAGUAUGGCCCCAUAGGUCGUGAAAUAACCAGCACAAAGUUGCUGGUGGAUGACAAUUGGCCCUUUUAAGUGAUCACCUUAAUAGACUAUCACACAGGGAAUAAGAGAAAAUGUAGUACCACAAAAGUUGUACCAAAGAACAGAAAUUCACCUCAGAACUUUUGAACAAUGCCCCUGCAGUCGACUAAGAGCCCACAGCGAGAACCUUCAGGCUAAGGAGCCCCUUCACUUCUCUACUGGGAUUGUGUGGGGCAUGGUUGGGGACAGAGGUGGAUUCAUACCAGAAAGAGAAGGAUUUCCAGGCCCUGCCAGCAGUCAAUGUGAAGAUCCUGAGUGAGAUGUGAGGGGUUCCACACCACAGAAGGCAGUCUCCCAUCCUUCCCUCUCAGCUCAUCUUACCUGCAGCAGCCAUUUCCUGGAAGCCUCAGGCAGAAGUGUCCAAGAGGAUGUACUUGCACUUCUCACCAGGAGUCUCGGGACGUGAUGUCUUCGAUGUGAGGCCUUGGCCUCAGGUCAGCAGAUGGCACAAAGCCCACCACAUACAGGGACAAGGGAAGAGAGAGAGAUCGGACGGAGCAUCACUCAGCCCAGAAGAUGGGGCCCGAAAGUGCCCUCACUGUCAUUCUCAGGAGCUCCAGGAACCAGUUCGGCCAGGCCAGAAACAAUUCCUGCUGGUGUGCUGACGGAAGCUAGAGCCUGAGAGGGAGGCCUGUAGACUUCGCUCAGUACAGGGAAGGUCUCAGGAUCUGCUGUGAUUCAAGGAAAGGUGCACAUGCCAAUCCUCCGGGAAGCUCCCCCGGAACCCCGCCCACCCUGGCCCCGCCUCUGCUGUCCGCCUGGAACACAGAAGCACAUGACAGGAAGUGACGACCACGCACACACGCUGUGGCUGCGAAGCCAUCUUGGAGAGCUGCUGUCGUCUUAGCGAA
rnacentral:lncRNA from 1 species